rnacentral:rRNA from 1 species
UGGGGAAUAUUGGGCAAUGGGGGAAACCCUGACCCAGCAACGCCGCGUGAAGGAAGAAGGCUUUCGGGUUGUAAACUUCUUUUACCAGGGACGAAGGACGUGACGGUACCUGGAGAAAAAGCAACGGCUAACUACGUGCCAGCAGCCGCGGUAAUACGUAGGUUGCAAGCGUUGUCCGGAUUUACUGGGUGUAAAGGGCGUGUAGGCGGAGAAGCAAGUUGGGAGUGAAAUCCAUGGGCUCAACCCAUGAACUGCUCUCAAAACUGUUUCCCUUGAGUAUCGGAGAGGCAAGCGGAAUUCCUAGUGUAGCGGUGAAAUGCGUAGAUAUUAGGAGGAACACCAGUGGCGAAGGCGGCUUGCUGGACGACAACUGACGCUGAGGCGCGAAAGCGUGGGGAGCAAACAGGAUUAGAUACCCC